AGUGAACGCUGGCGGUAGGCCUAACACAUGCAAGUCGAACGGCAGCACAGUAAGAGCUUGCUCUUACGGGUGGCGAGUGGCGGACGGGUGAGGAAUACAUCGGAAUCUACUUUUUCGUGGGGGAUAACGUAGGGAAACUUACGCUAAUACCGCAUACGACCUACGGGUGAAAGCAGGGGAUCUUCGGACCUUGCGCGAUUGAAUGAGCCGACGUCGGAUUAGCUAGUUGGCGGGGUAAAGGCCCACCAAGGCGACGAUCCGUAGCUGGUCUGAGAGGAUGAUCACCCAAACGGGAACUGAGAACGGGCCCAACCCCCUAAGGGGGGCAGGAGGGGGGAAUAUGGGAAAAGGGGCGAAAGCCUGAUCCAGCCAUACCGGGUGGGUGAAGAAGGCCUUCGGGUUGUAAAGCCCUUUUUUUGGGAAAAAAAAGCAGCAGGUUAAUACCCCGCUGUUCUGACGGUACCCAAAGAAUAAGCACCGGCUAACUUCGU
rnacentral:rRNA from 1 species